rnacentral:rRNA from 1 species
UGGGGAAUAUUGCACAAUGGGCGCAAGCCUGAUGCAGCCAUGCCGCGUGUAUGAAGAAGGCCUUCGGGUUGUAAAGUACUUUCAGUCGGGAGGAAGGUGUUAAGGUUAAUAACCUUAUCAAUUGACGUUACCGACAGAAGAAGCACCGGCUAACUCCGUGCCAGCAGCCGCGGUAAUACGGAGGGUGCAAGCGUUAAUCGGAAUUACUGGGCGUAAAGCGCACGCAGGCGGUUGAUUGAGUCAGAUGUGAAAUCCCCGGGCUUAACCCGGGAAUUGCAUCUGAUACUGGUCAGCUAGAGUCUUGUAGAGGGGGGUAGAAUUCCAUGUGUAGCGGUGAAAUGCGUAGAGAUGUGGAGGAAUACCGGUGGCGAAGGCGGCCCCCUGGACAAAGACUGACGCUCAGGUGCGAAAGCGUGGGGAGCAAACAGG